UUAAAGGCGGGGUGGGGGGGUGGGGCAGCAGGUAAAGCCUCCUCCUGCAGUGCCAGCAUCCCAUAUGGGCACCGGUUAUAAUCCCGGCUGUUCCAUUUCUGAUCCAGCUUUCUGCUAUGACCUGGGAAAGCAGUGGAAGAUGGCCCAAGUCCUUGGAACUCUGCACCCAUAUGGGUGACCCGGAAGAAGCUCCUGGCUCCUGGCUUCAGAUUGGUGCAGCUCCAGCCUCUCUCUGUUUUGGCCUGGGAAAGCAGUAGAAAAUGGACCAAGUGCUUGGGCCCUUGAACCUGCAUGGGAGACCCGGAAGAAGCUCCUGGCUCCUAGAUUCGGAUCAGCACAGCUCCAGCCGUUGUGACCAUUUGGGGAGUGAACCAGCAGAUGGAAGUCCUUUCUCUCUGUCUCUCCCUCUCUCUAUCUGUAACUCCACCUCUCAAAUAAAUGAAUAAAAUCUUUAAAAAAAA